CCAAAGAUAGGCUACCUGUGCUAAUUUGAGCCUAUCUUGUGGCAAUUAGCCACCUCUGGCCCUGCUUGGGGGAGCUUCUAGCUGUAAAGAUAGUGUAAGGGUCAUUUAGAUUACUAGCCACCUCUGGACCUGGUUGGGGAAGCUCGACAUGGUCUGGCUGAAGAGAUAACGCAGAUCACCAGGCUAUUUAAUCACUUCCAAUUUCCAGCUUAGGAUGGGAGAACAGGGGCUUUACUUUGUUUGCUUGGUUUUUUGUUUUUGUUUGUUUGUUUGUUUGGGUUGGUUUUUUGUUGUUGUUGUUGUUGUUUGUUUGUUUUUUUGUUUUGUUUUGUUUUUUUUCCGUCUUUCCCAUUGGAAAGACAAUCUUUUGUGCUUCAAUCUUCCUGGUUUCUCUGGACAUCUGUGAGCACAAGGACUUUCGUGAUGUGCUCCUAAUAGGGAUAAGAAGUCUUAAACAUACACACGUAAAACAAAACAAAAACAUACAAAAACAAACAGUUCACGACUGUAAGGACCUGUUCACUUCCUGAAGCUAGACAACAGCCUUUCAAGUGCAAAUCUUCUGCCUCUUCCAACACCCAAGUCCUCUCAGAAUUUUCUUCAUGCGCAGUUUUAAACUUUGUGUUUCUGGGUCUUGAACCCAGGGUCUCGCACAUGCUAAUCAGAAUGAAAGCAUUGAGAGGUUGUGAUUUCCGUUCUCACUCCUCUUCCCCUAGGCCCCUCAAAUGCACACGAUCUUUAAGUUCCCCCCUGGAUGCUGAUCCUGCGUGCAGCACUGGAGAGAGCACCGGAAGUCCAGGUCCCCGCCUCGACAGCAGCACAUGCGCAUUACUAUAAUAAUUAGACAAGACCAACGGACCUCCCCUCGUACUUGGUAAGUCUGUCAUGGAGCUGCAUGCACUUCAGACCGCUAAGAUUUCAACGUUGACAGAGGCACUCUUGGUAAAGUGUUAGGAUACCAAACGGAAAUCAGCAACGGUGGUAAGAUCUAACAGAAACCGCCAGUCCUCUGUCAAAUCGGCACGAGUCAGGGGGAGCGACCAGGACCAGCCAGGACUCCAGGAGAAGUUUUCUGCCGUGCCUCUCUCAACAAAGAUCAGCAAAGACAAAGACUCGAGACCAACCAAUGAAGCGAGGCAAGGUCUUCUUACCUUAGCAAAACAACACGUGAUUCCGUAUCACGUGACGUAUCCAGAAACUUACACCUCCAGUGUCCUUCAUUUUUGCCCGUGGAUCCAGAUGUAGACCCCUCUGCUACCUCUCCAGCUUCAUGUCUGCCUGUUCGCUAACAUGCACGGUGCCAAGCUGAUGACAGAAUAAACUUCUGAAACUGUAAACAA